GACGAACGCUGGCGGCGUGCUUAACACAUGCAAGUCGAGCGGUAAGGCCCUUUCGGGGGUACACGAGCGGCGAACGGUGAGUAACACGUGGGUGACCUGCCCUCAGCUCUGGGAUAAGCCUGGGAAACCGGGUCUAAUACCGGAUAUGACUCCAUGACGCAUGUUGUGGGGUGAAAGCCUUGUGCGGCUGAGGAUGGGCCCGCGGCCUAUCAGCUUGUUGGUGGGGUGAUGGCCUACCAAGGCGACGACGGGUAGCCGGCCUGAGAGGGCGACCGGCCACACUGGGACUGAGACACGGCCCAGACUCCUACGGGAGGCAGCAGUGGGGAAUCUUGCGCAAUGGGCGAAAGCCUGACGCAGCGACGCCGCGUGAGGGAUGACGGCCU
rnacentral:rRNA from 1 species